rnacentral:rRNA from 1 species
UGACCGUGCGAAGGUAGCAUAAUCAUUAGUCUUUUAAUUGAAGGCUUGUAUGAAUGGUUGGACGAGAAGUAAUCUGUCUCUAUUAAAAAAAUUGAAUUUAACUUUUGAGUGAGAAGGCUUAAAUGAUCUAGAGGGACGAUAAGACCCUAUAAAGUUUAACAUUAUAAUAACAAAAAGUUGAUUGGGUUGGAGAAUUUAUUAUUAUGAAUAGUGUUUUGUUGGGGCGACAAGAAUAUAAACAAUUUAACUGUUCUUUUUUGUAUCAAAGAUAUUUGGGUUAAUGAUCUUUUUAAGAGUAUUAGAGUAAAUUACUUUAGGGAUAACAGCGUAAUUUUUUUUGAGAGUUCUUAUCGACAAAAGAGUUUGCGACCUCGAUGUUGAAUUAAAGAUUCUUUAUAAUGUAGAAGUUAUAUAAGAAGGUCUGUUCGACCUUUAAAUCUUUACAUGAUUUGAGUUCAGACCGGUGUGAGCCAGGUUGGUUUCUAUCUA